rnacentral:lncRNA from 10 species
ACAGAAACUUCAUGAGAUGGGCAUUAUCAUUCUCAUUUUGCAGCUGAGAACAGCAAGGCUCAGAUACAUCAUGGGCUGAAUCCAGACAUGAACCCAGGGGCUAUAGAGUGGUGCCCCAAAUCUGGUCAACAAGAUUCUCCUCUGGAAGCAAAGAAAGAAGUCAGCUCAAAAAUGGCUCAGAGGAGAAUUAUGCAGUCAUCUUCAAGACACCAGCUUGCCUUUAACCCAGCAGCACUUAGCCUGACCUGACUAAACAUAUCCACAGAAAGACAGGCUUGUCAGAAGAAAUAUCCAUUACGUAUGGAAGCACUGAAAAACGAUGUUAGCAGUCACCAACCAAGCACUGCCCAGGGUGCCCAAUCCUCUAGUCCUAGUGAACGUGUGUGUGUGUGUGUGUGUGUGUGUGUGUGUGUGUGCACAUUUAUAAGGCUCUCUUGGUGUGAUGGUUUUACAUGAGGGAUGGCUCAAACAUAGUAUAUAUAUAUACACACCUUCUUCCCACUCUUACAGCCAUGGCAGACAUCACUAACCAACUGUCACUUUCCUACCAAGCCCAAAUGUGGCCUCAUACUUCUCAACACUACAGACAGCCCUGAACAAUUGAUAAGAGCACCUGUUAAAUGAAGCCUACCUUUCAUCCUUGCAUUUAAACUUUUGAAUCAUGUAAGUAACUCCUUUUGUUUAGAUCUCUGACUCACCAAGCAUCUUUCUUAUUAUAACAUAUUUCCCAUGAGGGUACAGAAACCAAAUGGGCUUUUCAGAAGACAGGAGUGUCCAGUCCUCUUGAGAAACCAAAUGGACUUUUCAGAAGACAGGAGUGUCCAGUCCUCUUGAAUAUUCUAUUUUUCACUAUAUAGCAGCCUCAUGAAUUCAAUUACUGCAAAUCAUUUCCUUUAAAACAAAAGUAUCUUUCUUUCAGUAUGAAAAAUUAGGUAUCUUGAUAACUAAGGGUCCGAUGAUCAAACCCUGGACUCUGACAGAUCCCUGGUUAGAGAACCUUCUGGACACCAGGUUUCUCCAGAUAACUUACUCAUAAUCUCUGUGUAGCAUGAUAAAAUUUUGUUCCUUUCAAACAUCUCUAUGAUGAUUCCAAGCAGAAGAUUCUACAAUUUAAGAGGUGUUUGCCAUUUGCAGA